UACGUAGGUGGCGAGCGUUAUCCGGAAUUAUUGGGCGUAAAGAGCGCGCAGGUGGUUGAUUAAGUCUGAUGUGAAAGCCCACGGCUUAACCGUGGAGGGUCAUUGGAAACUGGUCGACUUGAGUGCAGAAGAGGGAAGUGGAAUUCCAUGUGUAGCGGUGAAAUGCGUAGAUAUCGGGAGGAACACCGGUGGCGAAGGCGGCUUUCUGGCCAGUUACUGACGCUCAUGCGCGAAAGCUGGGGUAGCGAACCGGAUUAGAUACCCCCGUAGU
rnacentral:rRNA from 1 species